CCGCCUCGCAGGCACGGGCGCUCCCGCUGCCCGCCGGGUCCCCUGGCGCGGGGAAGGCCGGUCCCCCGGUGUCCCCUCGCAAACACGGCGCGGGCCGCGCUCACUCGGACGCGCUCUGCUCCAGAAGGCUAACCGCUCCGCCCUCGGCGGGCCCGGCCUCCGUCCGCGGCCCACAAUCCCCCGCUCGGGGGGGUUUCCGGUGGCGAGGCUCGGAGCCGCGCACCUUCUCUGCGCCCGUCGGUCCUGGGCAACGCUUCUCUCCCCGCAGGCUAAUAGUUUUCCCACCGCCAAGUCGUAAGAAUAAUGCCUUAAAAAAGAUUCGGUUUGUUAUGCGAGCAGCAUCCCAAUAGUACACAAGUAUAUCCAAAAUAGCUACGCAAUUAAAAAAAAAAAAAGUCGGGCGUGGUUGAGGCAGGAGGAUUCCAACUCCAGUCUGGGCUACAUAGCGAGAUUCCGUCUCAAAAACUACGGAGGAGGAAAACAGUGGAGUGUAGUAAUCCGUACAUUUGGGAGGCUUAGGCCGUUUCCAGCAGUCUAAGAACAACAUAGUCGUGUUCACCACAGCAUCAGCGCCACUCCUGAGCACCAGCCUGUCGGACACAGUUCAGAGAUGGAGCGUGGGAGAAUUCUGAGUGUUUGUGAGGAAGCUUCAAGACACUGAGAGUCUUGGGACCUUAGUUCUUCAAACCACAGAAUUGUUCUUGCAGUGUGUUUCCGUGCUCCUCCCAGGCAUAGCAGUGAGCUCACUUCAGAUUGUUCAUUACAGGUGGUAUGGUUAUUUGAAUAUGUGCCUCUAAGGAAAAGGAAAAUCAUGGUUUUGCCACACGCAGUUUAUCCUAAUAAUUGUACACUUUCGUCACGUGAUUCUUCUAACCCUCAGUAUAAAUUGCUCUGAAUAAAGUUGGCUAUUGCAUGAGA